AUUGAACGCUGGCGGCAUGCUUUACACAUGCAAGUCGAGCGGCAGCGCGGGGGCAACCCUGGCGGCGAGCGGCGAACGGGUGAGGAAUACAUCGGAACGUGCCCGAGAGUGGGGGAUAACGCCGCGAAAGCGGCGCUAAUACCGCAUAUUCUCUGAGGAGGAAAGUGGGGGACCGCAAGGCCUCACGCUCACGGAGCGGCCGAUGUCGGAUUAGCCAGUUGGUGGGGUAAAGGCUUACCAAGGCGACGAUCCGUAGCUGGUCUGAGAGGAUGAUCAGCCACACUGGGACUGAGACACGGCCCAGACUCCUACGGGAGGCAGCAGUGGGGAAUUUUGGACAAUGGGGGCAACCCUGAUCCAGCCAUGCCGCGUGCGGGAAGAAGGCCU
rnacentral:rRNA from 1 species